UACGGGGGGGGCAAGCGUUGUUCGGAAUUACUGGGCGUAAAGGGCUCGUAGGCGGCCAACUAAGUCGGAUGUGAAAUCCCCAAGCUUAACUUGGGAACUGCAUCCGAUACUGGAUGGCUUGAAUCCGGGAGAGGGAUGCAGAAUUCCAGGUGUAGCGGUGAAAUGCGUAGAUAUCUGGAGGAAUACCGGUGGCGAAGGCGGCAUCCUGGACCGGCAUUGACGCUGAGGCGCGAAAGCUAGGGGAGCAAACGGGG
rnacentral:rRNA from 1 species